CAGAUGCUGCUUCUAUUCCCGCAGGGGGAACCGACCUAGUCCAGCCUGGAGCGGUGCCGGCUCCCACCUGCCCGGACAGCGUGGAGCCAGAAUCACCGAUGAUGGCAACGAUGUCGACAUCUCUGGAUCCGACCAGCCCCAUCGUCUUUGGGAUGAGCACGGCAGCCGCUGUCCUCCUCCUCCUCCUCCUCCUCGUGGCCUUCGUCUGCUUCAGAAAAACCCGAGCCAUUCAACAGAGUAAUGAAGAUCUACUUUCUGCAGAACAGUUUCAGCAACAGUAAACCAAAGAAAUCUCAAAAGAUCUCAGUGAUGCAGUCAUCUUCCUCAAACGAAUAUAUUCCACCAACUUUAAAUUGGAUUGCAAGCCAAAGGAAUUGCUUCAAGAAAUAUUCAAACUUGGACUCUCCGGGGUGUUUCCUAAUAUCACAAUUGCAUUGUGUAUAUUUGUCAGUUUGCCUGCAUCAGUGGCUCCAAGUGAACGCACCUUCAACGUGUUGAAGCAGGUAAAAAACUAUCACCGUUCAACUAUGGGACAAGAGCGUUUGAAUGGGCUCGCCAUGCUUAAUAUCAACUGCGACAUUGCACGAAAGAAAGA